rnacentral:misc_RNA from 1 species
GGAAGGAUCAUUAACACUCGAUGUUAAAAAUCCACCUUACCCAUGUGAACUUGUUGAACGUACCUUGCACCGGAUAGUCAGCGAAAAAAAGUCUUUCCUUUUGAUUUGAGGGAUCUCUAAAGGUCUAUUCCUUUAUUGACUGCCCCCUUGUGAAGAGGGAUUGAUUUGGCUAUCUGGGUAUUUUUCGCAUCAACCAUCUUUUUAACCCCUUAAAAUUUAACUGAAACUCUGAAGUCUAGUCUUAUGGUAUUCAUUUACUAUUCGACAUGACAGAAGAAAAAAUGACAACUUUUGGCAGUGGAUAUCUUGGCUCUUGCAUCGAUGAAGAACGCAGCAAACUGCGAUAACUAAUGUGGAUCGCAGAAACCUGUGAAUCAUCAAGACUUUGAACGCACAUUGCGGCUGCCAGUGGGUUCGCCUGCUGGUAGCCAUGUCUGUUUCAGAAUUGGUAUUUCACUAUCAAAGACCAUCUUUAAUCGGAUGGGCUUUGGAGAUGAGGGUGAUUUUCUCAAAGCUGUAGUUAAAGGAAUCACAUUCCUAGAAUGAUCCAUUAGAUCCCGUAAGGCUUCUAGUGAGGAUUUCUUUGAAACAUUUUCUUUUAGCAGGCAUCAGAGACUCUCCCUUUAAUUCGAUUCAGCCUUUGAAGAGCUUCUCUUCAGCGAACUUUCGAGAAUAUUAAGUAAUAUUCAAAGAAAGGGACCUCUAUGGGAUCUAAGCGUUGACUCAAUCGCUGGUUUUUUUGUUGAGAUUUUGUUCAAAAUCUCAGCCGUUUGUUUCAUUUACCAUCUUAUCUGAAAUCAGGCAUGAUUACCCGCUGAACUUAAGCAUAUUACUAAGCGGAGGAAAAGAAACUAACUAGGAUUCCCUCAGUAGCAGCGAGCGAACAGGGAAGAGCUCAAAGUUAAAAUCCGGGGCAACCUGGAGUUGUACUUUUGAGAGACGUUUCUGUGGUUUCCCGAGGUAUAAGUUCCAGUUGAAUGGGACCUCAAAGAGGGUGAAAAGCCCGUAUUUGGCCUCAUGGAGACCGUUCCAGUACGUCAUCAGAGAGUCGGGUUGUUUGGGAUUGCAACCCUAAUCGGGAGGUAAGCUUCUCCCAAAGCUAAAUAUAUGCAAGAGACCGAUAGCGAACAAGUACCGUGAGGGAAAGAUGAAAAGAACUUUGAAAAGAGAGUGAUAAUAGUCCUUGAAACUGCCAAAAGGACAAGCGAUUACGGCUGUUGUUGCGCCAUCUACACCCUUUUUGCGAGGUGACCUUUCACAGCGCUCAGAGCCCUCAAAGCCUGAGUUUGUGGAAGUCGAUCUUCGCGAGAAGAUGCGCGUGGAUGUGUGCCGGUCAUCGACAAUCUCAAUUUUGUGGAGCAUUUUUGGACGGUAGUCCUCAACUUCGGUUGACGGAAACCUAUAGCCAAGUUUCGAAGCAAGAGAGGGAUUGGAAGGCACUUAAAUGGGCCAAGGAUGUGUCUGAUUCAGAUCUUUAGUGUGUCAAUCGGCCUCUCACACCUUCGGGUGGGUCUGGUACGAGGAUACGCUAGGUGUGUGUCUCUAACAUUCUUUAUGAUGACAUAUACGGCUUUAAUCGUCCCGUCUUGAAACACGGACCAAGGAGUCUAACAUAUGUGCGAGUGUUCGGGUUGCAAACCCAAACGCGUAAUGAAAGUAAAGGAAGAGCUUGCUCUUCUUAGGUAGGAACCUUGGUGAAAUACCCAAGAGGCACUAUCGACCGAUCUGGAUUUUUUUUUGAAGGAUUCGAGUUUGAGCAUAUCUGUUAGGACCCGAAAGACGGUGAACUAUGCCUGGGUAGGGUGAAGCCAGAGGAAACUCUGGUGGAGGCUCGAAGCGAUACUGACGUGCAAAUCGUUCGUCAAAUCUGGGUAUAGGGGCGAAAGACUAAUCGAACCGUCUAGUAGCUGGUUCCCUC